UACGUAGGGGGCAAGCGUUGUCCGGAUUUACUGGGCGUAAAGCGUGUUCAGGCGGUCUAGCAAGUCGGGCAUGAAAUCUCUCGGCCCAACCGGGAGGGGUUGUCCGAUACUGCUGGGCUUGAGGGCAGCAGAGGGUGGUGGAAUUCCGGGUGUAGUGGUGAAAUGCGUAGAUAUCCGGAGGAACACCAGUGGCGAAGGCGGCCACCUGGGCUGUACCUGACGCUCAAACACGAAAGCUAGGGGAGCGAACGGG
rnacentral:rRNA from 1 species